AGUUAAAUUAGUAUGUAUCUUGAAAAUACAAUUUAAAAUUAAUUUUUUAUUAACUU
rnacentral:tRNA from 1 species